rnacentral:tRNA from 1 species
GGAAUAGCUCAGUGGUAGGGCACAUGCUCAGCAUGCACAAGGUCCUGGGUUCGAUCCCCAGUACCUCCA